rnacentral:rRNA from 1 species
GAUGAACGCUGGCGGCGUGCCUAAUACAUGCAAGUCGAGCGAACAGACGAGGAGCUUGCUCCUCUGACGUUAGCGGCGGACGGGUGAGUAACACGUGGAUAACCUACCUAUAAGACUGGGAUAACUUCGGGAAACCGGAGCUAAUACCGGAUAAUAUAUUGAACCGCAUGGUUCAAUAGUGAAAGACGGUUUUGCUGUCACUUAUUGAUGGAUCCGCGCCGCAUUAGCUAGUUGGUAAGGUAACGGCUUACCAAGGCAACGAUGCGUAGCCGACCUGAGAGGGUGAUCGGCCACACUGGAACUGAGACACGGUCCAGACUCCUACGGGAGGCAGCAGUAGGGAAUCUUCCGCAAUGGGCGAAAGCCUGACGGAGCAACGCCGCGUGAGUGAUGAAGGUCUUCGGAUCGUAAAACUCUGUUAUUAGGGAAGAACAAAUGUGUAAGUAACUAUGCACGUCUUGACGGUACCUAAUCAGAAAGCCACGGCUAACUACGUG